rnacentral:rRNA from 1 species
GAUGAACGCUAGCGGCAGGCUUAAUACAUGCAAGUCAAGGGGGUAGCAAUACAACCGGCGCACGGGUGAGUAACGCGUACACAACAUACCAUAUACUGGGGUAUAGCUUCGGGAAACUGGAGAUAAUCCCCCAUAACAUUGCGAGAGGGCAUCUGAUUGCAAUUAAAGUUUCGACGGUAUAUGAUUGGUGUGCGUUUGAUUAGCUUGUUGGUAGGGUAACGGCCUACCAAGGCGACGAUCAAUAGCUGGCGUGAGAGCGCGACCAGCCACACUGGAACUGAGACACGGUCCAGACUCCUACGGGAGGCAGCAGUAGGGAAUAUUGGACAAUGGGCGAAAGCCUGAUCCAGCCAUGCCGCGUGAUAGAUGAAGGCCCUCUGGGUUGUAAAUAUCUUUUUAUCUGGGAAGAAACUCCUCUAUUCUUAGAGGCCUGACGGUACCAGAGGAAUAAGCACCGGCUAACUCCGUGCCAGCAGCCGCGGUAAUGUA